UGAGAUUUUAACUAGGACCUGAAGGUCAGAAAACCACUGAAGAUAAUAAAAGGAGCAAUUUCCAAAAUCAAGGAUCCUCCACUGAUGGUGUCCCACCAUUACCAGUGACCUAGAGAUGGAGCCUGUAAACUGAAAUGUAUUAACUGAUCUCAGGUGCCACUGCAGGACAUGGGACAAAAGACAAGAUCAGCAACCAGACUACUGCACUGGGCAGCAGUCUGGGGAGAAAGUGACCAGCCCUCCACAGUGAAACAAGUUGGGGAGUAUUUAGAAAAGGUUGACAUGUACAGGUCCAAAGGACUGGAUGUCAUGUGCAUGAGGCUGCUGAGGGAGUUGGCUGGUGUGAUUGCAGAGCUGCUGGCCAUUCUUUGAAAACUUGUGGUAAUCAGGGGAAGUCCAGGCUGAUUGGAAAAGGGCAAAUAUAGUGCCCGUCUUGAAGAAAGAAAAGGAGGAGGAUCCAAGGAAAUACAGACUAGUCAGCCUCACUUCAGUCUCUGGACAAGACAUGGAGCAGGUUUUCAAGGAACCUAUUUCUAAGUAGUUGGAGGAGAAGAAAGUUAUCAGGAACAGUCCACAUGGAUUCACUGAGGGCAAGGCAUGCCUGACCAACCCAAUUGCCUUCUACAAUGAGAUGACUGGCUCUGUGGAUAUGGGGAAAGCAGUGGACGUGAUAUACCCUGAUUUUAGCAUGGUUGUUGAUAUUGUCUUCCACAGCAUUCUUGCAAGCAAGCUAAGGAAGUAUGGGUUGGAUGAAUAGACUGUAACAGAAAGAAAGCUGGCUGGAUUGUCAGGCUCAUUGGGUAGGGAUCAAUGGCUCAAUGUCUAAUUGGCAGCUGGUAUUAAGUGGAGUGUCCCAGGGGUUGAUCUUGGGACCAGUUUUGUUAAAUAUCUUCAUUAACGAUCUGGAAGAUGGGAUGGAGUGCACCCUCAGCAAGUUUCUGGAUCCCAACAAGCUGUGUGGAGGAAUAGAUAUGCUGGAGAGUAGGGCUAGGAUUCAGUGAUCUAGACAAAUUGGAGGAUUGGCCCACAAGAAAUCUCAUGAGGCUCACCAAGGAUAAGUACAGAGUCCUGCACUUAAGACAGAAGAAGCUUACACACUGCCAUAGGUUUGGGACCAACUGGCAAAGCAGCAACUCUGACAAAAAGAACCUGAGGGUUACAGUAGACAAUAAGCUGGAUACGAGUUGACAGCGUGCUCUUGUUGUCAAGAAGGCAAACAGCAUACUCAGCUCCAUCAGUAGGAGCGUUCCUAGCCGAUUGAGGGAAGUAAUUAUUCUCCUCUAUCCUGCACUAACGAAGCCACAUCUGGACUACUGUGUUGAGUUUUUGGGCCCCUCACUACAGAAAGGAUGUGGACCAAUUGGAAAGUCCA
rnacentral:lncRNA from 1 species